AUUGAACGCUGGCGGCAGGCCUAACACAUGCAAGUCGAACGGUAACAGGAAGCAGCUUGCUGCUUCGCUGACGAGUGGCGGACGGGUGAGUAAUGUCUGGGAAGCUGCCUGAUGGAGGGGGAUAACUACUGGAAACGGUAGCUAAUACCGCAUAAUGUCGCAAGACCAAAGAGGGGGACCUUCGGGCCUCUUGCCAUCGGAUGUGCCCAGAUGGGAUUAGCUUGUUGGUGGGGUAACGGCUCACCAAGGCGACGAUCCCUAGCUGGUCUGAGAGGAUGACCAGCCACACUGGAACUGAGACACGGUCCAGACUCCUACGGGGGGCAGCAGUGGGGAAUAUUGCACAAUGGGCGCAAGCCUGAUGCAGCCAUGCCGCGUGUAUGAAGAAGGCCUUCGGGUUGUAAAGUACUUUCAGCGGGGAGGAAGGGAGUAAAGUUAAUACCUUUGCUCAUUGACGUUACCCGCAGAAGAAGCACCGGCUAACUCCGUG
rnacentral:rRNA from 1 species